CCCUUCGAUGUUCUGGGCCGCACGCGUGUUACACUGAUAAAUUCAACGAGUCUAGAACCUGUUCUGAGAAGAAUGGGGAAUCUUGUGAAAUUUUAUCGUGAUAGGGAUAGAUGAUUGCAAUUAUUCAUCUUAAACGAGGAAUGCCUAGUAAGGGCAGUUCAUCAAACUGUCCUGAUUACGUCCCUGCCCUUUGUACACACCGCCCGUCGCUACUACCGAUUGAACGGUUUAGUGAGGGCCUCGGAUUGGUCUCGGCCCGCUCUUUACCGGGCGGCGCCGUUGGUCGAGAAGACGCUCGAACUUGAUCGUUUAGAGGAAGUAAAAGUCGUAACA
rnacentral:rRNA from 1 species